rnacentral:rRNA from 1 species
GUUCGGCUGGGCACUCUAGUGAGACUGCCGGCGUCAAGCCGGAGGAAGGUGGGGACGACGUCAAGUCCUCAUGGCCCUUAUGUCCAGGGCUACACACGUGCUACAAUGGUGCAUACAGAGCGCAGCGAGCUCGCGAGAGUAAGCCAAUCGCAAAAAGUGCACCUCAGUACAGAUUGCACUCUGCAACUCGAGUGCAUGAAGUCGGAAUCGCUAGUAAUCGCUGAUCAGCAGGCAGCGGUGAAUACGUUCCCGGGCCUUGUACACACCGCCCGUCACACCAUGGGAGUUGAUUGCUCCAGAAGUGCCUGAGCGAACCGUAAGGGAGCAGGGCCCCAAGGAGUGGUCGAUGACUGGGGUGAAGUCGUAACAAGGUAGCCGUAGGGGAACCUGCGGCUGGAUCACC